rnacentral:rRNA from 1 species
UACAGAGGUCUCAAGCGUUGUUCGGAUUCAUUGGGCGUAAAGGGUGCGUAGGUGGCGCGCUAAGUCGGGUGUGAAAUUUCGGAGCUUAACUCCGAAACUGCAUUCGAUACUGGCGUGCUUGAGGACUGGAGAGGAGACUGGAAUUCAUGGUGUAGCAGUGAAAUGCGUAGAGAUCAAUGAGGAAGACCAGUGGCGAAGGCGGG